UGUAUGUAAUUUGUGCUUUUGCCAUGGCCUCAUAUGCCCAAUUCAGGGUUAUUUGAUUAGUUCCUCUCUCGUGGGUGCAUUUUUCAUUUUCCACUGCCUAGCAAUCAAUGUGUUAGCUGCUAUCAGGAUGUGGAACAUUAUUUUCCGCUCCACCUUCGGUAGGGCUUUCUGUCCUAUGAAAAGUAAACAUUGCUCUUGGGUAAGUUUUGUGUAUGGUCUCUGUUGCUAGUUUGUCAACCACGUCCCAGUAUUUUCUUAUAAUGAGACAUGUCCACCAAAUAUGGUACAUUGUGCUAAUCUCACCUCCGCAUCUCCAGCAGGUGUCGGAGGUGCCAGGGUAGAUGUGUGCUAGUUUGGCUGGGACAAGGUACCAGCAGUACUGCAGUUUCCGGAUAAGUUUGAAGUGCGAUACACAUGCAGAGGUUCCCUUAUGGGCCAGGAAGGCUUCCCUCCAUUGCUCUUCAGUGAAAGUGGUGUUUAGGUCUUUGUGCCAAGAUUGCACAAAACUGGCAUCGCUAGCUUUCCCGUGGGGCAGUAGCUCUUUGUAAAUAGUCGAUAGAGCCUUUUUUUGUUGGAGCUGUUAAGGCACAUUUCUUCGAAUGUGGUUAGUGUGGGGGUUGAGAGUGUGUGUGUGUGGUCCCUUGGAGGUAAGACUUAAGCUGGAGGUAUGAAAAAAAUAGCUGACUGUGGCAAUCCAGAACAGGAAACGCACGCGCUGCUUGCAAGACCAAUGAUUUUCUAUUUCCACCCAUUGAAGCGUAACUACCAUUAUGUGAGCCGUGAGCAUACAAGAGAGCAGGGCCACUUUAUAAUACAAAUUUGUGUUCGGGAAGUUUAGGUCCCCAGGGGGAACCAGGUUUUGCAAUAUCCCUGCAGCUACCCUGGCUUUUUUCCCAUCCCAGAUGAACAUCACCACCAAUUUUAGAAUAUUUCAUAAGUAGAGCUUAGUGAGGGGGAUCUGUAGUGUGCGAAGAAAAUAGUGAUAUUUGGGUAGGAGGGUCAUAUUGAAGGCAGCCGGUCUACCGGUCCAGGAUAACGAGCUGCCCUACCAUUUCUGGAAAGUGGUUGUAAAUUUGGUCAGUAACUUGUCGUAGUACUGUUGGGAAAGGCAUUGCAGAUUUUUAGUAAGUCGGAUUCCCCGAAAGUUGACAAUCACAUCUCCAGUCAAAAGAAAAGGUCGAUUUCAGGGCUUCGACAGGAGUGUUGUCUACGCCUACGCUUAGUGCUUGUGUCUUUGAUACAUUAAAUUUGUAGUAGGAGUACCUUCCUACCUACCUUACUUUGUUGUAUUAGGUUAGGGAGAGAGACGUAUGGUUGGGUUAGUGUGAGUAAAACGUCAAACAGGUUUGCUUUGUAUGCUAACCUAUAUCCACUUCGUGUAUUGAGGGAUCUGCUCGGAUCCUUGCCGCUAGGGGUUCUAAUGCUAGCACAUAUAGGAGUGGGGAUAAUGGACAGCCCCGUUUGUAAUGCAAAACUGGUCUGAAAGGAAUCCUGCAUUAAGUACCUGCGCCACAGGUUUCAUGUAUAAUACCCCGACCGCAGAGAGGAAGGCCCCCGGUGCCCCAAUUUUCCUCAGUACUGCCUCGAGGAACUUCCAACUCAGACAGGCAAAUGCUUUCUCCGCAUCAAGUGAGAAUAGUAAACCUUUGCAGUUGGUGGCAUGAAGAUCAUGCAGGAUGUUGAGCACUUUGCGUGUAUUGUCCGAUCCUUGUCUCCCCUUUAUGAAUCCUACUUGGUCGUUGUGUAUAACAACAGGCGCUAUAGGUCCCAGUCUAGCUGCAAAGAGUUUUGCAAAUAUUUUGGUGUCUGAAUUUAAGAGGGAAAUUGGCCCAAAGUUUUGGGAGCAGGCUGGUGGCUUUCCUGGUUUCGACAACGUGACUAUGUGCGCCAGCAAUAUUUCAGGUGGGAGUGAGUGGGAAGCCAUAGCGUCAUAAAAAAAGCUUAGUUAAUUGCAGGGCCAGUACGUCUUGGAAUGUUUUGUAGUAAGAAUUAGCAAAACCAUCAGGGCUGGGUGAUUUCCCCGCCGGCAACGAUUUAAUGGUUAGUUUAACUUCCCUCUCUGUUAUCACGGCCCCUAAAUCUGAUUGUUGUAUUUGGGUCAAUUGCGGUAAUUUUAUGUCGUUUGAAUAUCGUGUCACUUCCUCCUGUGUGGGUUGGUGGGUGUUCGGGUCCUGGUUCAAGUUAUAUAGGUCGGAGUAGUACAUGCAGAACUCAUUACUAAUGUCUUUUGGGGACAUGAGUUUGUGACCCGCCCGUGAUGUUAAGUACGUGAUCACUUGUUUUUAUUUGAGUCUAUUUGCCAGUAGUUUCCUGGCUCUAUUCCCCUGUAUUGUGUAGCUUUCAUCUUUCUUAAGUAAAAUCCCACUUUAUGUAGAGCUUGGUGAUGGAUAUCCUGUAUGAUUUGGGAUAUUAAGUCUGGUGAUGGAUCAACUUGGUGUCGUGUCACUAGCUUGUGUAACUGUUUUGCCAUUGUAAUAGCUGGGCUUUAGAUCUUUUGUGUAGGUAUGACGCUCAUUUAAUGAGUGUCCCUCGAAUUACUGCCUUGUGGGCUAGCCAGAUAGUGUGGUUUGGAAGGUCCAGGGUGGUGCGGUCUGUGAAAUAUGUUUGAAUAUCUGUUGCUAGAGUCUUAGCGAAGUCGUGGUCAGUGAGGAGGGACUCACUGACUCUCCCUGGGGCUCGGUUCUUGUAGUAGUACCUGUCCUUCAGUAUCACAGUGACUGGUGCGUGGUUGGACCACACUAAUUGUCCUGUCGAGCAGUCUACUACCUGGCUUAAGUCUGACCCUUUCAUUAGGUCUCUGUCAAUUCUUGAGUAUGUGUUAUGAACAGAGGAGAAGUAGGUAUAUUCUCUGUCGUCAGUGUGUGUGUGUGUGGCUCGCCAUAUGUCGUACAAGUGGUGUGUCAACAAUAGCUUGGCCAAAGCAUUACAUUGCCUUUUUAAUGUGCGAUGACUGGGACUUUGUGAGUGUCUAGGCUGGGGUCUAGCAUAUGGUUGAAAUCCCCACAGAUUAUCCCAAUAUCUUGUUGGAUGGAAGUGAGUCUGUGGAGGAUUUUGUGUAGAAUGUUGCGCUGCUCCAAGUUGGGAGCAUAAAUGUUCGCUAUGGUGUAGAGAAUAUUAUUAAGUUUGCCAAUGAUUAUAGCCAAUCUCCCUUCUUUGUCUAGCUAUUGCGACACCAAUUCAAACGCAAUUUGGUUGCUAAUCAGUAUCGACACCCCUUUGGACUUGGCGGGGAAGGUGGAGUGAAACUGGUGUGCAUAAGUAUUACAUUUUUUUUGGAUGAGCCUAAGCUUUGGAUGAUGGAUUUUUGGAUGAGCCUAAGAAGUGGGUUUCUUGUAAGUAGACCACAUCUGCACUUUGUGUUUUUAGUCUCUUCCUAGAAGUCACUGCACUGGGAUGUUAGGCCCUCUUACGUUAUGGCUGUAUAUUUUCAUGGGGGUUUAACCCCUUGAGGACCAAACUUCUGGAAUAAAAGGGAAUCAUGACAUGUCACACAUGUCAUGUGUCCUUAAGGGGUUAAUUAAAGGGUAUCAUUCUAAGAAACAUUAACCAGUACAUUAAGUCAAUAAGGGUAUUGCCUUUCCCAGCGGGUUUGAGCUGAGCAACCUCUCCUCCCUUGUCCUGUCCCACAUCCCCUCUAGAGCACAAGCAGCAUUAGGGUCUAUGAUGUACUCACGCCGUGUCCCUUCCGGAAGUGUGGACCAGGCCAGAGUGGUUCUGGCAAUUAUAUGUUUGCCCACCUGGCAGGUGCCCAGUUGCAUCAAUAGUGCAUAAACUGGAACACACGCACAAUAGAAAAGGGUAGAGAGAAAAUAACAUAACCAAAACAGUGUAACUGGUUGCACCGUCUUAUCGGCAAGGUACCUGGUCAGACACCACAGGGGUGGAAGCAUAGAGCUUCUGUCCUGUGUAAGCUACCGGUGCAUCGGCC